AACGAACGCUGGCGGCGUGCCUAACACAUGCAAGUCGAGCGCGAAUGGAGCAAUCCUAGUAGAGCGGCGCACGGGUGCGUAACACGUGGAUAAUCUGCCUGGGUGUCUGGGAUAACCAGUCGAAAGACUGGCUAAUACCGGAUAAGACCACGGUCUCUUCGGAGGCUGUGAGAAAAGGUGGCCUCUGUAUACAAGCUAUCACAUCCAGAUGAGCCGCGGCCCAUCAGCUAGUUGGCGGGGUAAUGGCCCACCAAGGCGACGACGGGUAGCUGGUCUGAGAGGACGAUCAGCCACACUGGAACUGAGACACGGUCCAGACUCCUACGGGAGGCAGCAGUGGGGAAUUUUGCGCAAUGGGCGAAAGCCUGACGCAGCAACGCCGCGUGUGUGAUGAAGGUCUUCGGAUUGUAAAGCACUUUCGA
rnacentral:rRNA from 1 species